rnacentral:sRNA from 1 species
UGUGUGUGUGUGUACAUAUACAUAUAGAGUACACACACAUAUUACAGUAACAUUUUAACCUGCUGGAAAUCAAUACAUAAAAGGUAUGUACAAAGGAGAAGGAAAAGAAUUUAGGGACUCUCUGCUUCUGAUCAUAACUGAUUCCAUUGCUAAACUUUAUUAAAAAAUAUCUGAGUAUCCCAUCCAUUCUUAUCAGACCUUGAGAGGCCCAGUGACACAGGCAGCUUUGGUCAGCGUUGUGGCUAGACUGAACAACUAUACAGAAUUCUGGAAACUGAAGUCUUUUGGAAAGAAAGACAAAGCAAUUGCCUGCCUACCUAGUUUGUGGAGGCCGUAUUCAUUCUCUUUCAACCAUAAGACCCCAAAAUGCACAUCAAAUUUCACUGUAAUGUGUAUGACUCAUGUGUUCCUGAAUGAAUUCAAGCCUCAGUCCCACACAUAGACCCAGUGUGAGAGAGUCUGGCCUGGCUCCUCUUGCAAAGCUUGUGCUCAGGAGCCUCUGACUAUGACUUGAGCAUGUAGCUGGUAAUAGCUCUUGAGACUAGACAACCGGGACUCCUCAAACAGCAUGGUGUGUAUGUCAGGGAGUGAUGUAGCCUGGGCCAGUUUCCUGCCCUUCUGGAGUUAUUAUUAUAGAUGUUCCAUUUUAACUAUCUGCAGAAGAAUUCUUCAGAGGCUGUGGAGAUGGCUCAGUGGUAAAGUGUUUGACACACAAGCACAAGAAAUGUGAGUUCUGAUUCUCAGAACCCAAUAAAGCUGAAUGCUGCAGAGCAGGUAUGUAAUCCCAAUGCCCUUCCAGCAGGAUGAAGGGCAGCCCGGAGAGUCUCCAGGGUGGGAUAGCCUGGCUCGUGCAUCAGCAAACAUCACGUUACCCUGCCUCAAGGUGCAACGUGAAGACUGACACCGAGGUUGUCCUUUAAACUCACACACACACACACACACACACACACACACACACACACACACACACUGUAGCACACAACUGUCUACUCAUACCUAAACAUGCAUGCACCCACAGAACAUUUUUAAAAUCCUUCUUUUUAGGGCUAUCUUGUUAUUAGUAGUAUCUGAAUUUUUUAAAAUUAAUUACAUAAUUUCUCCCUUCUCUUUUUCCCCUCUAAGCUGUCCCGUCUACCCCUCCUAGCCAGCUCUCUUUCAAACUCAUGGCUUCUCUUUUUUAAAUUGUUGUUGCACACAGUGUGCGCACAUGUGUAUGUCUCCACGUGUGCACAUGCAUACUUCUAAACAUGUAAAUGUGAGCACAGCUUGCUCGGUCUGAGUGAUGUUAUUUCUGUGGACACGUGUUCAGAGCUGACCGCUGGCUGGUGGAUACUCAGUUAUUGCGCUCGUCCCCACUUCUCCAGCUCUCAGCUUUUCUUGGUUGCUUGCAGCUCCUUGUCUACAGCUGAGGGCGCAUAAGUGUUCCCCUGUCCACCGUGUUGCCCUUGUCCAGGUCGUGCUUAGGUAGCCAUGUUGAUGAGCAAUUUCAUGAGUGUAGCUUCUGCCAUUUUUAGGAGACACAAUUCCACAGCGAAUUCUGUCCCUCUGACUCUUGGAAUCGUUCUGCCGCUCUUCUGAAAUGGUCCCUUAUAUGUGAGAGUUGUGUUGUGGGUGUAAUUGUUGCAAUUGUCUACAACUCUGCUUUUUGCUUGUGCUAUUAUUAUUUUUGACCACACUUGGCAUUGAACCUAGGCCUUUGCACAUACUAAUCAAAUCUUCUAACAAUUGAGUUGUCUUCUCAGCCUGCCCAUUCUAACUCCAGUAUAGAGCCUCAAUCUGGUAUCUGGGUCUCUGGGGCAGAUUUCUCCACUGAUCUCUGACCAAGGUUUCCUUUAACUCUGCUCUAUGAGCCCCGGGCUGAUGUCUGAAAGUUGACAGCUGUCUACAGACUUCCUGACUACUAGACUGAUGUCCUUCUUCACUCCUGUGAUGGUGUCCUGACCCUUUGGAUUCAGGGUGGAGUUAAUACAGGAAAUUGGUUACCAAGAAACUCAAAGGUUGAAGGAAAGCAAGACACAACAAAGAAAAGACAGAUCACCCAUGGCUGAGAGCAGUGACCUCACCAGAGUCUGGGGGACAGAAGGGAGUUGCCCGAGCUGCCAAAGCCCAAGAAAUCAGAGCCUUAAAGGACACUCGAAGAACAUUAAAAUGCUGUGACCACUUCUAAGCAGAGACUACGGUGCCUGGCAGAGUUCUUAGAAUUUAGUGGAUUUUCAACAUAGGCUUAUAUUUAACGAAUUAAUAAUGAAAGGCUUGAUUCUUCUGACAUCUUCCUUUAUGGUAAAGACAGUGAAUGGAAAAUCAGAGCUGAAGAAGAGGAGAUGCUUUUCAACGGACCUCUCAUUUGAAGUCCAGUGAGCACACAAUCAAGCGUUGGUCUUGCCAUCUCCGUUUCCGAGACUUGCCAGGUAUUUCCUGGGCUGUCAGCUGUUAGCUGGAGUGUGUGCAGGGUUCUGAGAGGUAUGGAGCCACAGGGAGCUGCAGUUUUAGCUCCUAGCUAUACUCGGCACCUCAGUUCCCAUGAAGAAUCAGCCUUCUCUCCUCCUGCUGGGAACCCCUCCUGGUGAGGGAUCCUGGGGGUGGCAGCCAUCUUCCCACAGCCUGUCACUGAGAGGAAAGAAUGGCACUGGGUCCAGUGUAACUGGAGGAUGUGACAACUGGAAGGACACAUGAGUGAUGGAGAAAUGUCUUUGUAAUCAGAACUAUUCGUUGGCCCUCAGCAUCUCCUAUCCAUUCCACUACGCAGACGGGGAGACUGAGUCAGUGGUGACUGGGAGAUCUGCACUGGCUCAGUCAGAAGCAAGACCAGACUGUUUCCAAGCUCUGAGCUGAAAGUGUCUGUGCUAGCUUUAUGCAGUUGCUGACCCGUUCCCGCUGGUGGGCACUUUGAUAAAUCAUUUCAAUUAGAAACAGAUGUUAUCAUGCUACACACAGAGAUGUAUCUUCCCAAGGUUCCAAACCAGCGAUGUUGCUAUUUAUGACUUCCAGUCGGUGUGUGGUCAGUGCUGGCCUAACCUCACACACGAACAAAUAAGCACACGGCAACGUUAGCUUUGGUGUUUCAGGAGAGCCGAGUAUAGAGUUGUGUGUCCUCCCUAGACAUAAGAUUAAUCUUGUUUGGGAAAUGGGCAGGGGAAAUAAGAGUUUGGGUUUUUGUGCAAAACAUCCAGCAAAUAACACAACAAAGGAGACUGUAGGAAUCUCUGUCUGGGAGGUAAUCACUGAAACAGCCUUCCUCACUCCAUGACACCUGGUUGAAACCAUCAUAGUUUGAGGACCUAAACUUGCAUGAAGAGGCAGUCCCAUGUCAUUUCUCCCGUAUUUAAUAUUCAUAUGGCUUUUGUUUUCUGAUAAUGACUCCCACUUAGCAAUAAAAUUAAUAUAUGCAAAUUAUGCAUGAGUUUGGGAAGGAUAUAAAAGGUGUAAGGAUUACAUAGAAACCACUUGUAG